rnacentral:tRNA from 1 species
GAGACCUUAGCUUAAUUAAAGUGUCUGGGUUGCAUUCAGGCGAUGUGCAUUAAGAUGUACAGGUCUU